UUAAACGUUACUUCAUUGUUAGUCCAGAGAAGAACCAUCAGGGGAGGAUUGCUCCUGCCUCCGAUGCUUUUCCCCGUAGUUGGAAUGAGUUCGUAAACAGGAUGUUUGGAUUUCUAUCGCACUUUCGGAAAAGUGGAAGGAAAAUGAAUGAUGUGAUUGGACACCGUUGCCGGCAUCGAAAAGUUUGGAAUAAAUUCCGCGGGACUCGCACGGGAAAGUUGAGGGGCGGUUAGACCUAUCUUCUUUCCCGAGCUUUUUUGGUUUGAGGUGUGGUAAUGAUCCUUCCGCAGGUUCACCUACGGAAA
rnacentral:misc_RNA from 1 species